AUGUCUGUCCAUGGUCACCAGCAGCGUCAGAGUACCCUCCGUCAUUUUCCUACUCAGCACUUCCUGUCGGCCUUCAGCAAAAAUGCAUCCUGUCCUCCUCCCAGGAAAGAGCACAGCAAGGCAUGCCUAGGACAGCAAGGUGGGCAAAGAAUGCUUUGACACAGUGCUUACAAUGCUACCUUUACAGUACAGUGAGAACUUGCACCCUGAGACCAUGGGAACCAAGCAGAUGUGGAGCCUGUCUCCAGGCAGGGUUAGGGUCUCGUAUUCAAAUCCGCAGAACAUUGACUGUAGGAAGACUGAUUAAAUUGUUGGAAUCUCAGGGUAGAAAGUCGACCUUCCAGAAUUCAGAUUUAAUAGUACCAUUGAAGAGGACAUUGGAAUACGCUCCUAUUUUGUCCUGAGGAAUCUGUGAAUGCUUUCAGGCCUACAAAACUUUCCCUUGAGCAAAGAAUGAGUUGGGGUACAGACUGUUUUAAGAAUAUAUCUAGGCCCUACCACCUUCUUACAUAUUAAUGGCAUAAAAUAAUAAGUGUCUGUCUACAUCUACAUUUCGCCAAAAAUGAGCAGCUGAUGUGAUUUAUUAAGGACUCCUUUUGUGUUUAUGGGGCUGAGUAGGUCUGACGUAACCUAUCUAUGGGGCGACCUGCCGAAGCCCUCACCGUGAAACCGACGUCAGAUCUGCUUUCCCCCAGAUGCACAAAAGCUGCUGCUUCCCUCAUUCCUGUGAAGUAGCAGAAGUUUUAUGCAUGAAAGGUUGGUGUUGGGUAAAUUCUACGAAGCAACACAAACUCAAAAAGUAAAGUCAAAAAGUCAAUGUCAUUAAGACCCUUUUCUGCGAUUAUUUUCUCUCCGGGUACACCUCCUCUGGGGUACAGCCAGACAACGUGCUCAUUCCUUCCAGUCAAGACACAGGCCUGCUGCUGCCGGGACUCCAGGACAGGAGGAGGAAGGACAGGAAAAUGGACAGCGUGAUGGGAGCGGAGGGCCUCAGCGCGCUGGAAGAACGAACCAUCAGGGCCACCACCGCUUGGGGUGCGGCCCUGCUCGGCCCAAGGAACCCCCGGGCGUGGAGGAGGGGAGGCCGAGGAGAUGAUAUGCGUGGGCAGAAGACUCGUCAUAGGUGGGCGCGUGGAACCAGGAUUUCAGCCGGGCCUCCCUGGGACAACGAGCGACCCCAGAGCAAGGAAGGUGUAAGGUGGGACUGGAGCACUGCGUGAUACCAAACAAAAAGCAGCAGUCGAAGCAUAUUUCGAGAUGUCUAAGGAGUAAAGAAGUCACCUGAAAAGGCUCUAAUUGUGUCAGUCAGGGGCCAGUGGGGCAGCAAAAUAAUGGUCAUAAUAAAUGAUAGCCCAUUUAGUAAACUAGGAAUCCAUGAGAAAACGCCGAUAUGAGUAUAUAAAUGAACGGGUGAAUAAGCGACGGAGGCAAAUAGGGAAGAAUCUCUCUGCAUUACAGCAAAGCGCCAGCCAAGAAAUGGUGAAAGACUGACAGGUUAGAGGACCACCUUUGACGAGCACCACAGUAAAAACUGACUCAGAAAAGGACAAUUCAUGAAUGUUUUAAAAAAAUAAGUGAAAGUUUGAUGAGAAAAAAUAUUUCUCACCUCAAAAUAGCUCCCCACUUUUUAAAAAUGUUUAUAAUUUAUUUGAAAACUAAAAUAAUCACAUACUGAAAAAACAUUUUAAUUUAAAUAUUGGUGAGAAUAUUUUAUGAAAAUUGUUCAGAAGUGUGACAUGGCUUAAUACAUUUACCAACCUUAUUACUAUGGGAUUAAUAGAAGCCGGCUGGAUUUCCACAGCUGCUUGUGUAUUUCCUCUGGUGUGACAUGUUGGUUCGUUUGAAGUGUGUAAAGAAAAUGUGCCCUCACGUGGAUAUGCAGUUAAAAAAUGAAAGGAUAUUUUAACUUACCUUUGCAGAAAAUGGUGGAUAUUUUUCCUGGCACUAUAACAAAAUUUAACAGUUUCUUAAAGGUUCUCUAAAAGGUUUUUUAUGGAGUAAAAACUGUCUCAAUGAACUUUUCAUCCUCUGUUAAAUUCCAUUUGUUUAUCUUGUAUUUUUUUAAAAUUGUCUUUACAUCUGGUAUAUAUGUUAUAAUGAAUGGAUGAUUCUGGUACAUUAUUAUUAACUAAAGUCCAUAGUUUACAUUAAGACUUACCCUUUAUGUUACACAGUUCUAUGGGUUUUGACAAAUGUAUGUCAUGUAUCCAGCCUUAUAGCGUCAUGCAGGAUAAUUACACUGUCUUAAAAAAAAACCCUGUGCUUCAUGCAUUCAUCUCACCCCCGCCACUGUUCCCCAGGAUCCCUGGCAACUACUGAAUUUCUUCCUGUCUCAGUCACUGUCUCUU